GCCGGCGUAGCUCAGUUGGUAGAGCAACUGAUUUGUAAUCAGUAGGUCACGGGUUCAACUCCUGUCGCCGGCACCA
rnacentral:tRNA from 2 species